UGAAACAAGUGAGUAAAGUAGUUCAGUAGCUAUAAAAACAUUAACAAGGAGGAGGUCUAAACGAUCUUUGCUUUUUCAGGUUUCUAAAGCAGACGUUGAAUUGUUUAUGAGUUAUGUUACACCGCGGGCGUUAAAACUCAACUGGUACCCAUCGAUAAUAACGUGGUCACAAAAUUUUCUCUAGACAGAAAGUUUAAUGGAAGAUUAAUAUAUUCGUCAUAGUCAGCAUCAUCAUCAUCAAAAAUCAUCAGUCGCCCUGUAGAAGGAACAGAAUAAAAUUUUUUAUCUUCCACAUGUGGAAGAGCUUUUUUAAUGGAGAUCAACGACCGUAGAAAUUAACUUGCACGCUUGUACUGUGUGAGUUCAUCGUCCCAGGUAUGGGAGUGGCUAAGGGUAUGAGUUAGUAUGGACCAGUUUAAAUAUUCCCAGUGGGUUUUUCUCCUCUAAACGAGAAGAGUAGUGCUCACAGUGGUACGCACAUCUGCUUAGAGCGGAUGCAGGCUGCAUUUUACGGUCGUCCAAUGCAGCAGAGCACAAAUUCAACAUUCGUACCACCCGCACCCUCUCUGCUCAGAUAUUACCUACUCCUCAACUUCCUUCACUUCCACCUUCUGACACAACGACUUCUAUAAUUAGAAGUUCCUUACCACGUCGAUGUAUGACCAAUAUUUUAACAGGAA